AUUGAACGCUGGCGGCAGGCUUAACACAUGCAAGUCGAGCGAGCGGCGGACGGGUGAGUAAUGUCUGGGAAACUGCCUGAUGGCGGGGGAUAACUACUGGAAACAGUAGCUAAUACCGCAUACCAUCAGAUGUGCCCAGAUGGGAUUAGCUAGUUGGUGGGGUAAUGGCUCACCUAGGCGACGAUCCCUAGCUGGUCUGAGAGGAUGACCAGCCACACUGGAACUGAGACACGGUCCAGACUCCUACGGGAGGCAGCAGUGGGGAAUAUUGCACAAUGGGCGAAACCCUGAUGCAGCCAUGCCGCGUGUGUGAAGAAGGCCUUCGGGUUGUAAAGCACUUUCAGCGAGGAGGCGUUACUCGCAGAAGAAGCACCGGCUAACUCCGUGCCAGCAGCCGCGGUAAUUC
rnacentral:rRNA from 1 species